rnacentral:lncRNA from 1 species
UAAAGAGAAGUGGUGUAUGGGCGAGAUGGAUGGGUGUUUCUUGUGUGAAAUGCCAGAUUGUUAGGCUCGUACCUUAGUGGUUGAGCAAGGUCGGGAGAUAUCCAUCUUGUCAUGGCUAAGGACCGAGUUGAUGUGUCAUCUUGCCUAAUUCAACCAUCGUGCAACCACUCGACCGUUGUAUGGGCAACGGCUUAGCAUAAACCCCACUAGCUAAACUGCUAGGCUUCAGGUGUGCUGGUGAGCAACGGGAGCCCAUG